rnacentral:rRNA from 1 species
CGGCGAACGGAGUGAGUAACACGUGAGGAACCUAGCCUAGGCUCUGGGAUAGCUUCGGGAAACCGGGAUUAAUACCGGAUAUGACUGUUGCCGGCAUCGGCGGCGGUGGAAAGAUUUAUCGGCUAGGGAUGGUCUCGCGGCCUAUCAGCUUGUUGGUGGGGUAAUGGCCUACCAAGGCGACGACGGGUAGCCGGCCUGAGAGGGCGACCGGCCACACUGGGACUGAGACACGGCCCAGACUCCUACGGGAGGCAGCAGUGGGGAAUAUUGCGCAAUGGGCGAAAGCCUGACGCAGCAACGCCGCGUGGGGGAUGAAUGCCUUCGGGUUGUAAACCCCUUUCAGCAGGGACGAAGCGGGAGUGACGGUACCUGCAGAAGAAGCGCCGGCUAACUACGUGCCAGCAGCCGCGGUAAUACGUAGGGCGCAAGCGUUGUCCGGAAUUAUUGGGCGUAAAGAGCUCGUAGGUGGUUUGCUACGUCUGCUGUGAAAACCUGGGGCUUAACCCUGGGCUUGCAGUGGAUACGGGCAGACUGGAGGUAGGUAGGGGAGAAUGGAAUUCCCGGUGUAGCGGUGAAAUGCGCAGAUAUCGGGAGGAACACCGGUGGCGAAGGCGGUUCUCUGGGCCUUACCUGACACUGAGGAGCGAAGCGUGGGGAGCGAACAGGAUUA